UGGGUUGUGACUCAGUGGCAGAGUGCUUGCCUUGCACGAAUGAGGCACUGGGUUUGAUCCUCAGCACCACAU
rnacentral:tRNA from 1 species